GCGUUGUUCGGAAUUAUUGGGCGUAAAGGGCAUGUAGGCGGUGUAAUAAGUUAAAAGUGAAAUACCAAGGCUUAACCUUGGAGCUGCUUUUAAUACUGUUAGACUAGAGAUCGAGAGAGGAUAGUGGAAUUCCUAGUGUAGAGGUGAAAUUCGUAGAUAUUAGGAGGAACACCAGUGGCGAAGGCGACUAUCUGGCUCAGUUCUGACGCUGAGGUGCGAAAGCGUGGGGAGCAAACAGGAUUAAAUACCCAGGUAGUCCACGCUGUGAACGAUGAGUGCUAAU
rnacentral:rRNA from 1 species